AUUGAACGCUGGCGGAAUGCUUUACACAUGCAAGUCGAACGGCAGCACGGACUUCGGUCUGGUGGCGAGUGGCGAACGGGUGAGUAAUGUAUCGGAACGUGCCCAGUCGUGGGGGAUAACGUAGUGAAAAUUACGCUAAUACCGCAUACGAUCUAUGGAUGAAAGCGGGGGAUCGCAAAACCUCGCGCGAUUGGAGCGGCCGAUAUCAGAUUAGGUAGUUGGUGGGGUAAAGGCACACCAAGCCAACGAUCUGUAGCUGGUCUGAGAGGACGACAAGCCACACUGGAACUGAGACACGGUCCAGACUCCUACGGGAGGCAGCAGUGGGGAAUUUUGGACAAUGGGCGAAAGCCUGAUCCAGCCAUUCCGCGUGCAGGAUGAAGGCCCUCGGGUUGUAAACUGCUUUUGUACAGAACGAAAAGGUUUCUACUAAUACUAGGAGCUCAUGACGGUACUGUAAGAAUAAGCACCGGCUAACUACGUGCCAGCCGCCGCAGUAA
rnacentral:rRNA from 1 species